GUCCUAGCCGUAAACUAUGUAGAUUAGGUGUUGGGGAUGUUGAUCUCCCCGGCGCCGCCGUUAACACAUUAAAUCUACCACCUGGGGAGUACGGUCGCAAGACUGAAACUCAAAGAAAUUGACGGGGACCCGCACAAGCGGUGGAGCAUGUGGUUUAAUUCGAGGCUACGCGAAGAACCUUACCCAGGUUUGACAUGUAGUUGAAUGACUAUGAAAGUAGUCAGGCCCGCAAGGGACAAUUACACAGGUGCUGCAUGGCUGUCGU
rnacentral:rRNA from 1 species